UUAUUGAUGGGAUCGAACGAAUCGAGCGACAUCUAGUGAAAUUUCAGCUUACUGAGUGCAAGUUCUUGCAAGCACAAUAUAAUUAUUACUUAGAGUUAGAGUAAAAUUAAGAUAAUAGAUGGCGCAAACGGAUUUUUUUUUCUCAACGUUGACAUGUUAGUAUUAUAAUCUGUGACAAUGAUCUGUGACAUUGUCAAGGUGACAGUUGUUAGUUGACAUACGAUUAUUUCUGAUGUUUGGUGGUCUUCAUUUUGUAUUGGCAAAAAUAUAUCUCCAACUCCUAUCUCUAAAGACGAUGAUAACCAUUGUGAAGAAUGACAUGAAAAGGCUAUUAGAACCACAUAUCAACAAUUUUCUGACCAUGACCAAGUGAUGAAUAUGAUAAAAGUCUACCUCAUGAAAGCCACACUACUUUUCAAAGAAAAAUAUUUUCUUUGGAGUUGUAGGUAUUAUAGUGAAAACUUAAUCUUGACUUCUGUUCUGCAUAAAUGAGAAUCGCACUAUGCCAGGUAACAUAAUGUAGCGAGUACCCUGGUUGAGUG